GUGCUUCCUUCUGAAGCACAGAUACUAAAAUUGGAGCUACGCAGAGGUUAGCACUGUCCUUCCGAAAGGGUGAUAAGCAAAUUCAUGAAGCUGCCCCUAUUUUA
rnacentral:snRNA from 1 species